ensembl:lncRNA
UUUUUUAAUAUCUCUCCUAGCUGUGCAGUUGAGGAACUAGAGCAGGCACACUGGGGGGUGAUUCUGUUUGGAACACAACCCUACAUCUCCUCUCCUAGCUUUGAGGAACUAGAGCAGGCACACUGGGGGGUGAUUCUGUUUGGAACACAUCCCUACAUCUCCUCUCCUAGCUGUGUAGUUGAGGAACUAGAGCAGGCACACUGGGGGGUGAUUCUGUUUGGAACACAUCCCUACAUCUCCUCUCCUAGCUGUGUAGUUGAGGAACUAGAGCAGGCACACUGGGGGGUGAUUCUGUUUGGAACACAACCCUACAUCUCCUCUCCUAGCUGUGAGGAACUAGAGCAGGCACACUGGGGGGUGAUUCUGUUUGGAACACAACCCUGCAUCUCCUCCAUCACACAAUUACUGUUGUUUUACUCAAGCCCAAAAACAGACCAUUUAUAAA